rnacentral:lncRNA from 1 species
GUUGGUCUGCUCAUGUGUCUUCAGCCUUUAGUGGCAUGCGCUCAGAGGACAUGUUUAAGCAAAAGAUGCUGAGUGCUUCAAAGAUCCCCAUGCAGGAAUUCAUUUGUGAUUUGAGAUACAGGCAACAAAAGGUUUGGAGAGAUGCGGGUACUCUAAAUCCGCGGGCGGUGAACAAGAAAGCAGUGACUUACCAUCAUUGGUGUGGGAUGCCUUUGAAUCAAACAGCACGCACUCCUUUUUGUAUUCCAUCUUACUUAUUUAGGGAUCUGGACAAAGGGGUCAUGAGGAAUGUGAGCAGGUUUAGACUUCGGGCUCACUGCUCAAAGGUCGAGUCUUGUA